rnacentral:ncRNA from 2 species
GGGAAUCCGGUGCGAAUCCGGGACUGUCCCGCAACGGUGUGAGAGCGCGUUCCGCGGCCCGUUCGCAAGGGUCCGGCGGUGCGCUCCCGAGUCCGAGGACC